rnacentral:misc_RNA from 1 species
UUUCCGUUGGUGAACCAGCGGAGGGAUCAUUAUCGAGUUUAUAACUCCCAAACCCUAUGUGAACUUACCACUUGUUGCUUCGGCGCGCGCUUCGGUGCCGCCGAGGACACUUAAACUCUUUGUUUUUAUAAGCAUUUCUGAGUGGCCGAAAGGCAAAAUUCAAAUGAAUCAAAACUUUCAACAACGGAUCUCUUGGUUCUG